GACAGGGUAGCUCAGUGGUAGAGCAGGGAGCUGUUAACUCUCAGGUCGUGGGUUCGAAUCCCACUCUUGUCU
rnacentral:tRNA from 2 species